CUUUCAGAGUGAGGAAAGAGUCUUUGGAGGCUGAAUCAAACACCUUCCAGUUUGGUGGUUCAGUGAAAACUAGAGAACUGAGUUGGGAGCGAUCACUGGGCAGUUUAAGACCUGCUAAAUCUUCUGUUGUUUCACCUUUGUGUGGCUUGUCUUCGUCUGUCCCUCCACGAACGGUUUGAAAAUCCCACACAUGACUGACAAGAGACGGCUGCAGGCCCAGAGCUCUAAUCCUCAACAGAGCUUUCUGCAGGAAUGUUUGGACUACAGAUGCUCACUCUGCAUCGACCUCUGAGCUGCUGCUUAAAGUCAUAUUCAGUGGUGAGAUCCCCAAUAUUGUUCUCUUGACCGUACACAGAGGUAAAGUUCCUCAUGACUUCAUAGCUUCACCUGCUCUCCGCCCCUACAAUCCUUAGGAAAACAGGAGUAAAGUUGUGGAUUCGAUGGCCUGCUUUCUUUAUACUGUUAAUUAUUUUAACGUGCUUUUAUUACACCUACUCUUAUUAGUAUGAAGAACUCAAGUCUUCUGAUUCAUUCUUCAUGUAAGAAGGGCAUGAAGUGGAUGAAAGCAUAAUAUUAGGAGUCAGGAACUCCUGAGUAAUGAUCCUAGGUGUGAAACCAACUCCCACUGCAUGACAACAAUCUAAGUGUUCUGCCUCAGUUUCCCCAUAUGUAAAAUGAGUAAAUACCUAACUCAAGACUAAUGUAAAGAUUGUUUUAAGUAACUGAAGAUAAAAAGUGCUAAGUAAAUGUAUUACUUAUAAAAGUCCUUCAUGCAUCUUCUAAAGUGGGUUUAUUGCUGUAGAUCAAUCUAUUUAAAUCUCUUUUAUACCAUUU